UGACCUCGGAUCAGGUAGGGAUACCCGCUGAACUUAAGCAUAUCAAA
rnacentral:rRNA from 6 species